rnacentral:rRNA from 1 species
AACGAACGCUGGCGGCAUGCCUAACACAUGCAAGUCGAACGAGACCUUCGGGUCUAGUGGCGCACGGGUGUGUAACGCGUGGGAACAUGCCCUUAGGUUUGGAAUAACUCCCCGACAGGGGUGCUAAUACCGGAUAAUGUCUUCGGACCAAAGAUUUAUUGCCUUUGGAUGGGCCCGCGUUGGAUUCGCUAGUUGGUAGGGUAAAAGCCUACCAAGGCGACGAUCCAUAGCUGGUCUGAGAGGAUGAUCAGCCACACUGGGACUGAGACACGGCCCAGACUCCUACGGGAGGCAGCAGUGGGGAAGAUUGGACAAUGGGCGAAAGCCUGAGCCAGCAAUGCCGCGUGAGUGAUGAAGGCCGUAGGGUUGUAAAGCUCUUUUACCCGGGAUGAUAAUGACAGUACCGGGAGAAUAAGCUCCGGCUAACUCCUU